AAAAACAACAAUUUAAAGCAGUAUUACACUUAUUUUUUUUUAUGUUUAAACCUUUUUCCGUCUUUGACCCAUGUAUGUUUUCAGCUGUAUUU